rnacentral:rRNA from 1 species
UAAUACGUAGGAGGCGAGCGUUGUCCGGAUUUACUGGGCGUAAAGGGCGUGUAGGCGGUUCGGGAAGUCUUUGGUGAAAUCUCCCGGCUCAACUGGGAGGGGUCCAGAGAUACUCUCGGACUAGAGGGCAGUAGAGGAGAGUGGAAUUCCCGGUGUAGUGGUGAAAUGCGUAGAUAUCGGGAGGAACACCAGUGGCGAAAGCGACUCUCUGGGCUGUACCUGACGCUGAGGCGCGAAAGCGUGGGGAGCAAACCGGAUUAGAUACCCGGGUAGUCCACGCCAUAAACGAUGGAUGCUGGGUAUGGGGGGUAUCGACCCCCUCCGUGCCGAAGCUAACGCGUUAAGCAUCCCGCCUGGGGACUACGGCCGCAAGGCUA